rfam:Fukomys damarensis contig74072, whole genome shotgun sequence.
CAGCACAUAUACUACAAAAAAAUAAUUGGAAUGAUACAGGGAAGAUUAGCAUGGCCCCUGCACAAGGAUGACACACAAAUUCACAAAUAAUUCCAUAAAAAA